CAUCACCAAGGAUUUGAAAGCCACACUUCUCUUCUAAGGCUUCCAUUCCUUUCUGAUUGGCACACUUGCAGCCCAUUACAACUUCUGUAGAAUAGCAUUCAAUGUGGAUUUCCACUCUUUCCCAUUGUCCAUGUUAAAGUGAAAGGUUUAGGCACUACAUACAAUUGGUAAAGAAAAUAUAUUUUCUUGAGAGUUAUAACUAUAUGUAAACAUUGUAUAAUGAUAUGAAAUAAAAUGCACAUUGUAGGACAUUUUCUUAAAAAAA
rnacentral:lncRNA from 1 species